UUGCCAUGAUGAUGUCAUGAACUGGUUGAGAGUGUUUACAGAAUGCUCUGUGGAACUUUGACAUCUAUGUCGAUCCUGAGCGGUUACCUGAGCAA